rnacentral:lncRNA from 1 species
UUUUGAACCAAUUAUUUUUUGAAAACUUUAAGCUUUGGUAUGUUUAAUUUUGAAGGUAUAUGGAUACCUCUUUAAUUGACGUUGAUGUGCAGCCAAUGUAUGUACGAGUAAUGGUGAAAGGAAAGCCCUUUCAGCUCGUCCUUCCUGCAGAAGUUAAACCUGACAGCAGCUCUGCUAAAAGGUCACAGACGACAGGACAUUUGGUAAUCUGCAUGCCCAAGGUAGAAGAAAUAAUCACAGGUAGCCGGCAAACAGCCAAGUCUGUGAAGCCCAUGUUGGAUGGCAACAGAGAACAGAUGCGUACCAGUUGUAGAAGAAAGCAAGUUGAAAAACUGGAAGUAGACCCUGGCAAGUACUCAUUCCCUGAUGUGACAUCCAUAGUUCAAGAGAACAAGCACACAUCCAGAAGACUGCGAUCUGAACCCCAAAUUGUAUCAAAUGAGGAAGACCCAGCCUUUGAAGAUAAUCCUGAAGUCCCUCCACUGAUGUGAAGCACGAGGCUGUGGUGGUGUUUCUGUGACCUACUACUCAAUGCAGGGAGUAGUUGCAUGACAUUUAUAGGAUAAACAGAUUCAUCCUUGUUAUCACUUUAAUGCUUUUCCUUCUC